UAACCAAUGGCAUAUCUCUCAAUGAAGAAGCAAAGCUUACUUGCGAAACAAUCAUUUAUUUUCAGCUCUAAGAUUUGUUCAAAUUAUAAAUUCUCAGUUAUACAUAUUCAUGUUUUUAAAAUAUAAUGCUCAUGUAAGAAAUCAAUUUUACCUAGUUGUCGAAACUGAGAGCGAUUUUUUUCGGCAGACAUUUAAGCUCUGGCGAGGAAUGGUUGAUUACUACAAAGCUAUUGCGCUGAGACUUCCUUAAAUUAAAACAGUAUUAGAUUAUCAUAUUAAAAGCAUAGGUGUUACCAUGACCAUGGUAAUGAUACUCUUAAACUUUUGGAUCUAGAAUAAUUAAGGUUUUGUUGUUCGAUUCAGAAAGUUAUUGAAAAUUUGCAAUUGCUGCAUAGUAAAAAGAGUCUACAGUUGAUAUCAACAAUCCUUAAAUCAGAAAACAACAAAAUCUUGACAAAUAUUCUGAGCGAAGAAAAAUGUCUAUUUUUUAUUUACCAAGUUGGAGAGGUCUGGUUCAACGAAAGAUGACUGCUUAUCAAGAAUUAGCCGUUUUGCCAUGACACAAUGGUAGAGUGCAGAGUUCAGGUUCAGUUGAUGGCUGUCAGGUGAUAGCUCUCCAAUACUGUCACUCCACGAUUCACCAGUCGUCUCUCAGUAACUGUUACGCUCUUUAGUGCGUGAUUCAUCGUCUUACCUUUGCAAUUAUUUAAGUCGACGGGCAAAAUGAACGAAACAGAAGAGCAAAUGUGUCUUGAAAACAUAGAAGAAUAUCUCAUGGAUCAUGACAAAAUCGUGACUUACAAAUAUCUGAGCCGCUCUCUGAAUAUAUCAAUGAAUGAUGCAAAAAGGUUACUUGCUAAGUAUGCUUCAACCAGCAAGCAUAAGUCUGAUCUCUCUGCCGUAUAUGCUGUUGGGGGAGAGUUGAAAAACAAUGGAGGAUUCUUCGUGAUAAUCGCUCAAGAUAAAGAUCUAGACUCUGUGAAAUCUCAGUUCAAAGAAGUAUCCUGGGAACAGUUAUACAGCUUGCAGAAGAAAGGACAACUGUGUGAUCUCAAUACUUUGCUUCUUGCGAAUAACGUAACUCCAACGGAUGAAAACGAAAAUAGUGUCGUUGGCAUUCCAUAUUGGAAGGAUCCGAAAAGGGAUGACAUUGCAGCACGUAAUGCGACCACUGCAACAACCUCAACAAUUGCUAAACAAGAGCCAAAAGUUCCGCCUAAAAAAGCAGCUUCACCCCAGAAACCAGCUCAGCCGUCCAAAAUCCCUCCCAAGACACCUCCUAAGGCUGCACCCAAGUCUAAAACCAGUCCUAGUCCAAAGAAAGAAACAGCAGCAAAAGAUAAAAGUACUGGGAAUAAGUCCGGAGGUAUUGCUGCUAUGUUUGCAGCUCAGCAAUCUAAGAAAGAUACCGCUCCUAAGUCAAAGGCUAAACCGGAACCUACAAAAAAAUCUGGCAGCCAAAGCAUAUCGUCACUCUUCGCAGGACAGGCAAAGAAAAUGGCUGAGAAGAAAACAGAGUCUCAAACGAGUGUCUCUAGUAGUUGCACAUCCACUGAUAACUCCAAAUUAAAUUGCGAAUCACAAGAAUUAUUCUCUAGCUCCGAUAAUGAAAAAGGUAGUCAGUCUACAAAAUCUCAAGAGUCUGCAUUAAAAGUCAAUGGAAAAGAAGGAAGUAGUCAGUCUAAAAAAUCUCAGGAGUCUGCAACAAAAGUCAAUGGAAAAGAAGGAAGUAGUCAAUCAUCCAAAAACGCAAGCAUCAAUAAAAAGCCUCCAGUUAGCAAGAAAAAGGUUCAAUCACAAAAAGGCAAAAAGGAAAACCAUCAGAACCUCCUCAGAAAAGGAGAAAGCGAGUCAUGGUUGAAAGUGACUCAGAAAAGAGUAGUGAAGGAGAAAGUGAUGCAGAGUCUGAGAGGAGUCUCUCCCCUGAACCUGAAAAGCCUCCGUCACCUGAACCCAUGGAAGAAGACGAUGAAAUAA
rnacentral:lncRNA from 1 species